rnacentral:lncRNA from 1 species
GCCGCUCCCGCCGCCCGCCCGGCCGCGCUGCGCCCGGCUCCGACCGCGCUCUGCCCCGCCAGCAGAGCGCCACGCUCCCACCGCCCCCGAAAAUUACAGAAAGAAAGAAAGAACCAGAAAUCAAAUCCCCCUUCUAAUCCCUCCCCCAGAGCAGGUCUCUUUUUACCAAACGAAGCCACCCUUUACGGCACCCACCCUUCCCCCACGCCACCGAGGCACCUCUCAUUGUCGUCGUCCCCCCAAGGGGACCCGUUCCUCCCCCACGAUGCACACACACACACGCUCGCUCGCCUCCCCCCGUCCCCCAGUCCGUACCGUGCCCCUCGCCGGUUGCCAGAAGGAAAGGCAGCCCACGGGCCGCUCUCCCCCUGCCAGCCGUGCACGCACCUUCCAGAAACAAGCUGUCUCUGCAGCCGCCGCCGCCGCCGCCACCGGCCAUCUUCCUCGAGCCGCGCUGCCUCACUCCAUCGCCCAGCGAGGCGGCGGGGCCUGGCCCUUCCCCCGGCCUGCGCGCUCCGCCGCUCACCCACCCCCACUGCGGAAGGCUGCCUGACCCGCAGCGGCGGCAAUGCCGAGGCCCGGCCCUCCUCCCGCACGGCGCGCACGGCUGCCCGGGCCGCGCUACCUUCCGGCCCCGCGCAGGAGAAAGCGGCGGCGGCGGCGCGCCCGCUCCUCCCUCACCCUGCCCGCCCGUCGCAGCCCCCCGCGCCGAUGCCGGCCGGGCCCGGCCCUGCAGCCGCCGAUGGCGCCCAGCGAGGGAGACGGGCCUGGCCGGGGCUCCGCCGGAGGCGCCUCCGAGCCGAAGGGGAGGACGAGGAAGCGGUGCGCGCUGCGCUGCCGCCCCUCUCCUCCAUGAACGGCGCGGCGGGGCCUCCCCGGAACCCUGGCUCGCCCGUCCCCAGGCGGAGCGGGGCCGCCGGCGUCCCCCGGCCCCCAGGCGAUAAAAUGGCCGCAGUAGGGCUGCGCCCGGGAACGUCUCGGGUCUGCGCUCCCCCCGAUCAGAUCGGAGGCGGCAGCUUUUUGGAGGUGAGGAGGUGGAUCGGACUGCGUAAAAUGAAUGAACUUUCAAGAGGCAGGGAGCCCAGUGCGCAGGACGGGGGCCUGCUGGCCUCCCCUGCUCGGGCACAAUACGGCAGCGGGCCACAAAGGUCUUACGGACCGUUGUCAAUCAACUUUCUCCGUGGCCGAAGUACGUUUAAAUGCAAAACCGGAAUUCUGCAAAAAGCACGGCGUUGGCAAGGCAACUGCACAGAAACUGCAAGUCAUGGCCUGAGAUGUAUGUGA